rnacentral:rRNA from 1 species
AACGUAGGACACAAGCGUUAUCCGGAGUUACUGGGCGUAAAGGGCGUGUAGGCGGACCUAUAAGUCUAUUCUGGAAAGCUCCCUGGGCUAAACUGGGGAGAGGCGAAUGGAGACUGUAGAUCUAGAGUGAGGAAGAGGAAAGUGGAAUUCCGCGUGUAGCAGUGAAAUGCGUAGAUAUGCGGGAGGAACACCGAUGGCGAAGGCAAUCCCCUGGACCUGUACUGACG